rnacentral:rRNA from 1 species
ACACGGAAGGUCCGGGCGUUAUCCGGAUUUAUUGGGUUUAAAGGGAGCGCAGGCGGAGAUGCAAGCGUGACGUCAAAUUUCGGGGCUCAACCCCGUCUCGCGUCGCGAACUGCGUCCCUUGGUUGCGGGAAGGGGAGGCGGAACUCGUGGUGUAGCGGUGAAAUGCAUAGAUAUCACGAAGAACUCCGAUCGCGAAGGCAGCCUUCCGGCCCGUCAACGACGCUCAUGCUCGAAGGUGCGGGUAUCAAACAGGAUUAGAUACCCUGGUAGUCCGCACAGUAAACGAUGGACACCCGCGGUUUGGCCUGUAUGGCUGAGCCGCCAAGCGAAAGCGUUAAGUGUCCCACCUGGGGAGUACGCCGGCAACGGUAAAACUCAAAUGAAUUGACGGGG